rnacentral:rRNA from 1 species
AGUAAGGAAUAUUGGUCAAUGGACGAAAGUCUGAACCAGCCAUGCCGCGUGAAGGAUUAAGGUCCUCUGGAUUGUAAACUUCUUUUAUCUGGGACGAAAAAAGGCGAUUCUUCGUCACUUGACGGUACCAGAUGAAUAAGCACCGGCUAACUCCGUGCCAGCAGCCGCGGUAAUACGGAGGGUGCAAGCGUUAUCCGGAUUCACUGGGUUUAAAGGGUGCGUAGGCGGGCAGGUAAGUCAGUGGUGAAAUCCUAGAGCUUAACUCUAGAACUGCCAUUGAUACUAUCUGUCUUGAAUAUUGUGGAGGUUAGCGGAAUAUGUCAUGUAGCGGUGAAAUGCUUAGAUAUGACAUAGAACACCUAUUGCGAAGGCAGCUAACUACGCAUAUAUUGACGCUGAGGCACGAAAGCGUGGGGAUCAAA